AUGGCACGCACCGGCGCCACGACCACGACGGCAGCUGCUGCGGCGCUGCUCCUGCUGGCGCUGGUGGCCACCGGCGCCGCCGCGGUCGACGCGGCCGCUGGCGGCCAUGAGAUGACUGCUGCCGGCGGUCGCCGCGGCGUCCGGGCCCAGCCGGCGGGGCUGACGCAGUGCAUGGGCGGGUGCGGGACGAAGGUCGCAUCGUGCCUCCUUGACUGCUACAACACGGCCACCGGAGGGACCAUGCCCAUCUGCUACCUCGGAUGCACCAACCACGCCGUCUUCUGCGCCACCGACUGCACCACCCAGGGGCUCUGA
rnacentral:rRNA from 1 species